UAGAAAGUACUCUUGGUGUGCUUCGGGCU
rnacentral:piRNA from 1 species